GCACAAUCAAGGUUUCUGAGUAGUUGAAAUAGAUAAGUCUUGAGUCAAUCAGUACAUCUGUACCACAUUCAUGUGGCAAAUGCUGCUUUAUGGAGAUGUUUCUAAUACUGACCUACAAUAAUUCAGCCAAGAUCACGUUUCUACUGUCUUCAGGAAAUGAGAAAAAUGAAUCCAGGAAAUUUCCAUCUUUAACUAUACUCUGUAAAUGUGCUGUCCAAUACACAGAUAGCUACUGAGCACUGGAAUAUAGCUAGUCUGAAUGGAGAUGUUCUUCUGAAUCAGGAAGGCAGCCACCUGUGAAGAAAAGACAAAGGCAAAGUGGUGAAGAGCAAGGAGAAAUUGGAACCCACGAGAAUGAGCUGGAACUCCAAUGGAUGAGUUAGAACUCUGUCAGUCUUUCCAAACCUCCAGUUUCAAUGCUGAAGGGGUGACCUUCAAUCAAAGUUUGAGCCCUUUGUCAUGGAACUAAAUAUUCACCUGAACAGGGAGUUGAAGAAGCUUGUCAGAGAGUUGACGGGGUGUCCGAUAGGAGCAGAAAAACUAGGAGUGGGAUCUGCCCUAUGCUAUUAUUGGGGCUUGGAAAAUAAAACUGCAAAGAUUGGCACUUUGACAUGCUGAGAGGCCUUAGAAGCUGCCUCAGAAUCCAGGUCCCUCUAAUAUUGUCUUCUUCCCCCAACCCCGCUUCGUGCCCAAGCACAAGAAGGGAUUCUCUGGGAUUUUCUGGGAUUUUCUUAUUUCACCAUGAAAUCUUAUUUCCAAAAUGAACAAGAUUGCCUUCUUCCUCUCCCUGAAGUCCCCCUGUCUCUUUCAGAAAAGAAGACUGAGGAAUGCAACUAGAAUGGAUUUUUCACAAGAGAAUGCCUGCUUUUCUGGCUCAUUCGAAUUCCAAAGACAAUCAUUUACAAGUUAAUUUCUGUCCAUUUCUUCUCCUUAAGAAUCAUUUGCUGUCUCUGAGAAGCAUUGUCCACAUUCCCCAUUCUCCCCUCUCCCCUGUGAAAAAGGAUAUAAGCUUCUGUACCUCAUUGGGUUAUUGGGUAAUCAUUCUCCUGAGAAUCACCUGUGCUAUGCAUGUUAAAAUAAAAUUGUGCAAGCCUUCUCUGC
rnacentral:lncRNA from 1 species